AACGAACGCUGGCGGCAUGCCUAACACAUGCAAGUCGAACGAGACCUUCGUGUCUACUGGCUCCCGGGUUCGUAACGCGUGGGAACCUGCCCUUAUGUUCGGAAUAACUCCCCGAAAUGGGUGCUAAUACCGGAUAAUGUCUUCGGACCAAAGAUUUAUCGCCUUUGGUUGGGGCCGAGUUGGUUGAGGGAGUGGUUAGGGGAAAAGCAUACCAAGGCGUCGAUCCAUAGCUGGAGGGAGAGGAGGAACAGCCACACUGGGACUGAGACACGGCCCAGACUCGUAGGAGAGGCAGGGGAGGGGGAUAUAGGGGAGUGGGCGAAAGGCAGAGCCAGCAAGGGCGGGUGAGUGGUGAAGGGCUUAGGGUCGUAAAGCGCUUUUAACCGGGAUGAUAAUGACGGUACCGGGAGAAGAAGCUCCGGCUAACUACGUG
rnacentral:rRNA from 1 species